GCAAGUCGAACGGUAACAGAUCCUGCUUGCAGGAUGCUGACGAGUGGCGCACGGGUGCGUAACACGUAUGCAACUUACCCCUAACUGGAGAAUAGCCUUUAGAAAUGAAGAUUAAUACUCCAUAACAUUACAAAAUGGCAUCAUUUUGUUCUUAAAGCUUCGGCGGUUAGGGAUGGGCAUGCGUUCUAUUAGUUAGUUGGUGAGGUAAUGGCUCACCAAGACUUCGAUAGAUAGGGGGCCUGAGAGGGAGACC
rnacentral:rRNA from 1 species